rnacentral:rRNA from 1 species
GGGCCCGCACAAGCAGCGGAGCAUGUGGUUUAAUUCGAAGCAACGCGAAGAACCUUACCAAGGCUUGACAUCCCUCGCAAUCCAUGGAAACAUGGAGUUCCCUUCGGGGACGAGGAGACAGGUGGUGCAUGGUUGUCGUCAGCUCGUGUCGUGAGAUGUUGGGUUAAGUCCCGCAACGAGCGCAACCCUUGUUCUCAGUUACCAGCAAGUAAAGUUGGGGACUCUGAGGAGACUGCCGGGGAUAACUCGGAGGAAGGUGGGGACGACGUCAAAUCAUCAUGCCCCUUAUGUCUUGGGCUACACACGUGCUACAAUGGUCGUAACAAAGGGAAGCGAACCCGAGAGGGGGAGCGGAACUCAAAAAAGCGAUCCCAGUUCGGAUUGUGGGCUGCAACCCGCCCACAUGAAGUCGGAGUUGCUAGUAAUCGCGAAUCAGCAUGUCGCGGUGAAUGCGUUCCCGGGCCUU